rnacentral:rRNA from 1 species
ACUCAAAGGAAUUGACGGGGGCCCGCACAAGCGGUGGAGUAUGUGGUUUAAUUCGACGCUACGCGAAGAACCUUACCGGGGCUUGACAUCCCGUGCUAUCUGGUGAAAGCCAGAGUUCCCUAUGGGACGCGGAGACAGGUGGUGCAUGGCUGUCGUCAGCUCGUGUCGUGAGAUGUUGGGUUAAGUCCCGCAACGAGCGCAACCCUUGUCCUUAGUUGCCAGCAUGUAAUGAUGGGCACUCUAGGGAUACUGCCGGUGACAAACCGGAGGAAGGUGGGGAUGACGUCAAGUCAUCAUGCCCCUUAUGUUCCGGGCUACACACGUACUACAAUGGUCUGUACAGAGGGUCGCGAAGCCGCGAGGUGGAGCCAAUCCCACAAAGCAGAUCUCAGUUCGGAUUGCAGGCUGCAACUCGCCUGCAUGAAGUUGGAAUCGCUAGUAAUCGCAGGUCAGCAUACUGCGGUGAAUACGUUCCCGGGCCUUGUACACACCGCCCGU